UCCGUCUAGAUACAAUAACUAAUUAGUAUUUUAAUAACUUAAAUUGCAUGGCUUGAUCGUCUGUUUGAGUCUUCUCUUAUGUAUGAGUGCACCAUGUGUGGGUUAAUUUUUUUGGGUCUUCUAAUUCUCUGCGGUAAUUUGCAUCUAUAUUUGUGCUAAUUGGCAAGGUGCAUGAAUAAUGAUUUAUCUAAGUUUUUUGCUUAAUGGAAAGGCCUUUUCAGUUAAAAAAUCCUACUGAUUUGAUCAAGAGAACAUGCGUCUGUUUUUAAAUAGCUGAAUUUCUACUUAUUUAAUUGACUAUUGUGGUGUCAAGAUCCAAUAGCCUUGCUAUUAGUUAAUGCUCUAUUUAUAUUUUCUUCCAACAAAACAAAUGUAUGUUUACAGCAAAAAAACUCGUUAUUUCCAGCAAAAACAAUGGCUCGCUGUCGCCAGGUCGCAGCAAAAGUUUUGGCCGGUCCCAUAAGAAAAUUAGUUCCAACAAAAAAAGAUUGUUGUCGCGGUCACAGGUACUAUACUCUACGCCUCCGGAAGAUGUGCAUUAAUGGUUGGCUGUUAUAAUACAUAUAUGUAAGAUUUCAUGUUAUACCAGCUUAGCAGAACUUCACGGAAAUUUGCUAGAGGUGUUGCAACAGCCUUGAUCAAAUAUUAUUUUCAUUAUUCCUUCUUGGUUUGAGACAAUAACAGUAGAUAAUCUUCAUCGAAAUUUGCUAGAGAAGUUCCAACAGCUUUGAUCAAAUAUUAUUUUUAUUAUUCCUUCUUGGUUUUAGACAAUAAAGUAUAGAAUCUAAAUCCUUCUACUUUAUGUGUACUUGUAAUAGAGCAACGCUUGGUGCAGCUAGCUGCAACAAGGACCAACUUGACUUGAUGGGGAUACAAUCACCAAGAAAGAAUCAUACCUGAACUUACCUUUAUGCAUUGCACGAACUACCAAGAUAUUGUAUCUUCCUGUAUGAUCCGUAACUCAUAGACACAUGAGUAGCGAUGGAUACUAUUUGGUAUGAACAACAUCAUCAUCUUGCAAUUCUAACAUGUAUUCAUUAACUUAUUUAUCCACAUAAUAGUGAUGCAUCUUACGUUUCUGUCUAUUGUAUCUGAAUCUAAAAUGCAAUUAACUCCUUAAUUUGCCUUCAGCAGGAUUGAGCGAUCUGGCAUGUAAGCUUAGCUCGGUGGUUCAGAUUAUCACUGUUAGUCUUCUGGUCGUGGCAAUUUUUAGACCUCUUGAGGUAGCUCAACGAAUCUGGUGUGAAGCUAUGAAGGGAUUUUUCUUGAAAACAAUACUGAAAGGAUACCUUAACUUCAUUUUAUCCCCUAGAUUAGUAUACGUAUAUUCAGUCCCCAUUUAUUUUAGAUGUAUAGCUUGCAUGACAGUUUUGUUUAAACAGAUUUUUGGGGCAUUUUGCAAUUCUCACAUAUGUUGUUAUCCAUGCACUUACUUUUAUCAUUUCCAGUGUCAAUGCUUACAAAAUUGUUAAAUCUUUUUUUAUUGGAGUUCAGCCAUGUUUUUCACCAAGGAUUCAACUUGCAAGCAUCUGAAUCUUAUGUUGUCC
rnacentral:lncRNA from 1 species